rnacentral:rRNA from 1 species
GUCCACGCUGUAAACGAUGUCGACUUGGAGGUUGUGCCCUUGAGGCGUGGCUUCCGGAGCUAACGCGUUAAGUCGACCGCCUGGGGAGUACGGCCGCAAGGUUAAACUCAAAUGAAUUGACGGGGCCCGCACAAGCGGUGGAGCAUGUGGUUUAAUUCGAUGCAACGCGAAGAACCUUACCUACUCUUGACAUCCACAGAACUUAGCAGAGAUGCUUCGGUGCCUUCGGGAACUGUGAGACAGGUGCUGCAUGGCUGUCGU